GUACAGAUGGCUGGCACGGCCUCUUUAAAGGCUUAACCACUCUUGUUAAUUGAUAAUCAUGUCCUGGGUGCCAAAAUUGAGUAUUUAAUGAAUACCUGAACAUAGGUUCAGUGCUCAAUCAUAAGCCUACCAGUGAUUUCAUCUAGUGUUUGUUUUGUGCUCAGUCUCUCCAUCUUAUUUUUUCAAGAUAGCAGCGCAACACAGUUUGAAGCGGCCUCUCCGGAGUUGAUAUCUGUUAUUUGUCAAGUGGGGUGCCGUGCACAAUCCUAAUCUGAUGAAAAACGGACGUGGGAGCACGGAGGAACAUCUGGAAAUCUCCAGGAAGGCCUUCUUUAUUGAUGCUGCUGUUGUGAAGUCUGGGUCUCUGCUGGGAAGAACAGGCCCCCAGUCCUCGGGAUCACGUUGCUGGUGGCCAGUGGUGGGGGCAUCAUAGUGCGCUUGGCAGAAGAUGGUGCUCAGAGGGGCUGUGCCAGAGGGGAUGGUCGGAAGCUCGGAAGUUCGAGGGACUCGGAGUCUGCUGUGGUUGGGGCGCUUUCACUGUGUGCUGCGUCUGUGAGGCUGAGCCCGACGGAGCUUUUAUUGUGUGUUGCGUCUGUGAGGCUGAGUCCGGCAGUGCCGUGGAAGUCCAUAGUGGGGGUAUUCGCUUCUGCCGCCUGCGUGGGAUGACGAGUCUAUCGAGACCCUGAGGAUUUGUGGAAAUUGUGUGGUGGUUUCUUUUGAACUUAUAGUCUUUUAACAUCUUUGGACUAUCUUUACUGUGCCCAUGAUCUGUUUUUUUUUCUCAAUUAUGCUAUUGUUUGCACUGUUGUAACUAUAUGUUGUAACUAUGUGGUUUUGUGUAGGUCUUGUAGCUUUAGUUUUUGGUUUGUUGGGUGCUAGAGUUGGUCUCCUGACUUGGUGUGUCUGGGUAGUCUUGUUUUGUCUGGUUGAUUUGGAGCUCCUUUCCGGGGAACGCGCUAAGACGGUAGUGCGAUAUUAAUAUGGAGCAGCCUCUCCGGACUCUGGAUUUGGGGAUUGCCAAAUGUUAUGUGGAUUUCUGGUGUAGUCUGUUUUGUCAUGUGCUUUUGUGAUAUCAUUCUGGAGGACGUUGUUUCAUUUUUUAACUGCAUUGCAUUUGUGGUUUCUAAAUGACAAUAAACCGAAAUUCAAUUCAAUUUGAGCCUACGUCUCGAUCCCAGCCUCAGAUACUCCAGCAUUUGGGUGCAAGUCUGUCUCACCGAGGACUCUGGUCACAGUAUGACUGAGCCCAGCUGGUUAUCAGAGUCUGUUGUCUGCUGUGACCAGCCACAGCGAAGACGUUUCCGGACAGAACCUAGAGGUUCACAAACUCCAGGUAGCCAUGGGUCAUCUUUUGCAAGGAGGAAGUCCAGGUCACUUGGGAGAACCAGUCAGUUGCACUCCAGAGCUGUACAUCUUCCAACCCCGGGGAGAUUCGAUGGUAACCCGGGCUCUUGCCACAGCUUCCUCAUUCAAUGCUCAUUAGUAUUUGAACUUCAGCUGGUGCCCUUCAGAGAGCAGGAAAGUGGCCUUCAUUAUCUCUCUCCUGACUGGAAGAGUCCGGGCAUUGAGUUCUGCGUGUAUUCAGAAGAGUUCAUGGCUGCCGUGAGGAGGGUGUUUCAUCACCUCAAAGGAGCCAGCCGAGCCUCUGAUGAACAUUCAACAGUGGGGAUGGUCAGCCGCCGACUACACGAUGGAAUUUCUGACCUUGGUUCUACUGUGGGGAAGCGGGUCACCUGGGAGCCGACUGUCCAAAGCUGCUGCCACCUGGGGAACUGCUAAGACCAUCCAGUAUAGGGAGGACUGCGAUGGUAGCAGCCGCUACUCCCAAUCCUGCGAUUCUGGUUUCAUGCCAAAAGCAGAAUCCACUUGGGGUGAGAGCUUGAGAUAGGUGAAGGCCUUUGUGGACUUGUGGGCAGCAGGUUAUUUUCUGGAUUUAGAAACUGCUUAUUGACUGCAAGAAUUGAGACAGUCCUUGCCUGCAGCUGUCUUGAUGGCCGACUGCUAGGCCAAGGCAGAUCCAGCAACAGACUGUGGAAUUGCAGAUGAGGAUAGGAGAUCAUGAGGAAGACAUUAGCUUCUAGAUUAUUGACUCUCCACUCAUACCCCUGACCCUCUGGUACCCUUGGCUGUCCCAGCAUAACCCAUCCUUAGGCUGGAGAGAGAGGAGAAUCACUGCUUGGUCCAGUCAUUGUAAGAGGUUUUAUUUACAGUAGGAUGUUCUGACACCUAGACUCUCUAAUAACCAACAACCUAUAAUGGGGCAGGCUUCAGUGCAAGAGAUUCUGAGACCUUCUGGAGACCUAGUCGGGUCCUCAAGAGUGGACAAGCUGGUUCCGGCCAAUGGGAUAGGGUGAGUUCUGACACAGUCUAGUUGGAGUCCCACAGGAGGGAAUUUCUAGGUCAGGAGAAGACCAAGGAGAUGCCUAGGCAGUCUGAGCUACUUGCCACUAAGCUGAAGGGAACCGGCCGCCAGAUCUCAAGGAAGGGAAAGACUCCUUUAUGCUGAUCAUUGAAGCCUAAUCACAGGGAUGCAAGAACCUUUUGUAAUGCCUCGCUGCAGUUGUCCGUGGAUACAGACGGGGAGUCGGACUCUGAUUUGCCCAGUGGUUCCACGGGUGAACUUUGUGAGCUCAGAGAGAGGACUCUGAAGCCCAUUGAAUCACUCCCGUCUCCAAGGAGGUCUCAGGAGUUGUCCUCAAAGGAAGGUCCGGAGGAGAUAGCAACACCCAAACUGGUUAAGACAUCCCUCUUUUUACAAGGACGGAGGAGGUCUUCAGCAAGGGAAAGGCCUCGACUCUUCCACCGCACUGAUGCUAUGACUCUGCCAUUGACCUGCGGCCCGGUACUUGUCCCCAUUUGUACGUUCUCUCAGGACCAGAGAGAAGCACCAUGGCAGAAUCGCCAUCAAUCAGUGCAGAUUUCUCCUUUGUACAAAAGAAAAAUGGUAGCCUGUGGCCAUAUAUUGAUCACAGCGGAUUAAAUUACAUAAUGAUCAGGAAUCACUAUCCCUUCCAUUUUAUGAAUACGCCCUUCGAGGUGCUCCAAGGGGAAAGGAUGUUCACAAAAUUAGACCUCUGGAUUGCCUACAACCUGGUUCUUAUCAGGGAGGAUGAGAAGUGGAAGAUGACACGCAAUACACAAACAAGCUGUUUUCAGUACCAGGUUCUACCCUUCGGCAUUGCGACUGCCCCAGCAGUUUUCCAGACCUUUAUAAAUGACAUGCUCCUAUAGAGCUUAGGAGGUUCAAUGGCACCCAAUGGCGGCUCCUUUGCUUGCAUCUGCAGAAACAGCUCUAUUUCCAUCUUUGAUCUCUAUUUUUCCUGUUCAGAGUUCUUUUGAAGACCCUGACCUGGAGUUACACUGGUCUUUUCAAGAAUGGGACCCGCUCUUAGAUUUUCAUGACUGGCCGUUGUUCGGCAUGCCAAGGAUAAUGCCUGAGAGUUUCGCUCACCUUCGGAGGGCCGAGAUCUCGUGGCUGUGGAGAUGGGUGGAUUGAAGGUUGGUGUCUGGGCUGAUCAGUGUGUCAUGGGAGUUGGAGGAUCUAAGGCUGUGUGCCUAGAGAUGCGAGAUCUUUAGAUACUAAGCUUGGAAAAAGUGAUGCAAUGGACUUUUAGCAUCCAGUUGUUUGUUAUGUCUCCCCUCUCACUGUAAAAUGGAGACACCUCUUUUUCCCUUAUUAUGGAGAGAGAAGGAGAGAGUCUGUGGUAUGUUGAAUACUGGGUGAACAGGCAGUGUUUGGAAUACUGCAAGUCUCUGUCUUUACUGUCUUUACCUCUAUUUUUCAUGGAUGGUUGCGAAGAAAAACAUUUCAGGAUGUACAGUUUCUCUGACAUUAAAUGUACUUUUGAAAUAGGCCUUCGACAACUUGGAUGAUAUCCUAACCUUUUCAAAGUCCAUGGAGGAGCACAUCACUCACAUCAGAGACAUUUUAAAGAGGCUGCAAUGCAGACAUUUGUCAAGAAUGGCCACACACCCAGUGAUUGGCAGAACCCUCAGGUUUAUCAAGAGGAGAUAUUGGUGUCCCAGAAAGAUGAAAGAAGUUUGACAGUACGUGCAGGCAUGUGAGGUGUGUGUCGGGAACAAGGAGCCCUGUAUCAAACCUCAAGGGCUCCUCCACCCCCUACCCAUUCCGAAACAACUUUGGUCACACAUCUCAAAGGACUUUGUCACGGAUCUCCUGCCAUCCAAUAGGAAGUUGUCAUCAUGGUGGUUGUCAAUUGGUUUUUGAAAGUUUCCAAGUUCAUUGCCUUGGAGAAGCUACCUUCUGAGGAAGAGACAGCAAGAUUAUUCUGGACCAGGUUUUCAGGGUCCACGGAUUUCCUGUGAACAUUUUUUCGGAUGAUGAUCCACAAUUCUCAUCACAUUUCUGGGUUCUUUUGAAGACCCUGACCUGGAGUUACACUCUGACUUUGGUUCUUUGCAAGAAUGGGACCCACACUUGGAGAGUCACGAUUGGUCAUUAUCCGACAUGCCAAGGGCACAGCCUAAGAGUUCAGCUUGCCUUUGGAGGCUGAGCAUGCUGGGGCUUUGGAGACGGGCGGAUCGAAGGUCAGUGUCCUGGACCGAUGUGUUGUAGGAGCUGGAAGAUCUUUGAUUGUGUGUCCAGAGACCUAAGAUCUUUGGGCACAGAGCUUGGAAAAAGCGACACAAUGGACUUUUAAUAUCGUAAAUCAGCGAGUUGUUUGUCUCCCCUCUUGCUGUGAAAUGGAGACAUCUCUUUCUCCUUUAUUAGGGAGAGAGAGGGCCUGUGGUAUGUCGAAUUACCGGGUGAACAAGUCGCCUUUGGGAGCAAGCCUUUCCUCUGGGCUUCAUCCACAAUCCAGUGGUCAGACGGAGUGGACCAACCAAGAUUUGGAACAUACCCUAAGAUGCCUGGCUUCAAAAAGACUUGAUGAGUGGUGCGACCAUUUGAUGUGGACAGAGAUAACCCACAACACCUAGUAGCACUCGGCUCAUGGGAUGUCACUGUUCGAGUGCCAGUUUGGUUAUCCUCUGCCUCUCUUUCCCGAACAAGAAGCCAAGGUUGAAGUCCCUGCAGCAGAAGAUUUUGUCCAAUACUGCAAGGAGAAAUGGAUAAGCGCAAGAGAGAUUUUGCUGGCCUCUAUCUGGAGAGCAGAGACUAAGACAGACCGAUGGAGUAGUCUGGGAGAAACAUUGUCUCAUUAGAUAGUAUACAUGUAUAGAGUAAAAUGACAAUAAACUUGACUUGAAACACAGCUACUCCACAUUUUAUGAAGGGGCUUCUUGGCUCAGUCUUGUCAUGAGUCGUUCUGGGGACAAAAGAGGAGAUGAAUGUGCUUUGCUGUAGUCUUGAGGCACAUAGGCAUUAAGCCCAUAAGAUAUUACAGCAGAAUUAGACCAUUUGGUCCAUCAAAUCUACUCCACAAGUUAGAUAUGUAUAGCAUUGAUUAGUGCUUAAAGUUACCAUGCAUCAUCUUGCUUUGCACACUGAUGGAUCCUGAAUUGAGCGCAUUAGUUACUAUUAGUAGGCAGUCCACCACCAUCUUUUUAAGGACAAUUUGCAAUGGCUAAUAAGGAUUCAUGAUGGCCUGCUUAAUUCCUCCAGCACUCUGUGUGUGUUGCAUAGGAUUUCCAUCUUCUGCAGUACCUCUGGUAUCGAUGAUGCCACUGUCUCAAGUGAAUAAUUCAGCUGGUAUGUUUAUUGACUACCCUCCAUAAGCCAAAAGCAUGUUGGCAGGAAGGAAUUAUCCUCCAAGAUAACCUUGCCGUGGUUUGGAAGUCUGCUUGACUCAAUGACCGGAAGAGCUAUGUAUGUUGGCUUUAUGCUUUGGCUCUCGGUAGGGUUACUCAUGCUAAACAGAUCAAAGGGUAGAGGCAAGACUAAGAGUGAUUCACCAGUCCUCCAGGUUUGGGGGUUCAGCUCAGAGCUAACAACCCUACCUGGUAAGACAAAUUUGUUACAGAAUCAACAAUGAAGAAUCUUUCUCUCUCUGCGCAUGGCAGUAUGGACAGACAGAGAUGGAGGGCCUUCAUUGCUGCCGUGAAUGCCAAUGGUGUAACAGGCAGUAAAAAAGGAAGGAAUUAUGACACAGAACAAACAACCUACCGUACAGGGUCUAGCCCCAAAAUUUCAGCUGUUUAUUUCCAUCUGUAGAUGCUGCCUUACAUAUUGCAUUCCUCCAGCAUUUUGUGUGUGUUAUCGCACAGUGGAUUUAUUUUACUCAGAAGACAAAGAAAGGUUAAAGAGCAGUAGAGAUGGGAAACACAAUGAAUAGAUUCCUAGUAUAAGUUUUCAUUUUUUAAUGCAUCAGGUAGAGGAUAGUCACAUACAAAUUAGGUAUGUGAAUAAAAUCCAUCUCAGUCAUUUAUAGUAGUGAGGCCACCAAGAGUAAUUGAAAUGGGAACCACAUCUCUAUCUCCUCUCUGGUGGUUUAUAAAAUGGUAACAAAAAUGCCUAAAAGCAAUAUGUUUACCAGCUUUAUAGUGCAGAUAAAAAAUGUGCAGAGCUGUGAAGCACAAGAAUAAAUUAUAUAGACAAAUAUGAAUUUAAAUUAAAACUCCAAAAUUUGACUCAGCA